rnacentral:rRNA from 1 species
GGUGAGUAACGCGUGAGUAACCCGCCUUACACAAGGGGAUAGCCUCUGGAAACGGAGAAUAAUACCCUAUGAAACUAUCUUAUCGCAUGAAAAGAUAGUCAAAGUGUUUUAGCGGUGUAAGAUGGACUUGCGUCUGAUUAGCUAGUUGGUGAGAUAACAGCCCACCAAGGCAACGAUCAGUAGCCGGCUUGAGAGAGUGUACGGCCACAUUGGGACUGAGACACGGCCCAG